GCCCAGUGCUCUGAAUGUAAACGUGAAGAGAUUCAUCAAAGCGCGGGUAAACAACGGGAGUAACUAUGACUCUCUUGGUGCCCCUUGUUUACGUAC
rnacentral:rRNA from 1 species